rnacentral:rRNA from 1 species
AUUGAACGCUGGCGGCAGGCCUAACACAUGCAAGUCGAGCGGAGCGGCGGACGGGGGAGUAAUGCCUAGGACUCUGCCUGGUAGUGAGGGAUAACGUCCGGUAACGGGAGCUAUAACCGCAUACUAUCAGAUUAGCCUAGGUCGGAUUAGCUGGUGGGUGGGGUAAAGGCCUAACAAGGCGACGAUCCGUAACUGGUCUGAGAGGAGGAUCAGUCACACUGGAACGGGGAAAGGGUCCAUACUCCUACGGAGGGCAGCAGUGGGGAAUAUUGGACAAUGGGCGAAAGCCUGAUCCGGCCAUGCCGCGUGUGUGAAGAGGGUCUUCGGAUUGUAAGGCACUUUAAGCGGGGAGGCGUUACCAACAGAAUAAGCAACGGCUAACUUCGUGCCAGCAGCCGCGGUAAUAC